rnacentral:tRNA from 7 species
AGUAGCUCAGCUGGAUAGAGCAACGGCCUUCUAAGCCGUGGGUCGGGGGUUCGAAUCCCUUCUG